rnacentral:rRNA from 1 species
GACGAACGCUGGCGGCGUGCCUAAUACAUGCAAGUCGAACGCAGUGGGGACGGGUGAGUAACACGUGGGUAACCUCCCAUCAGAGGGGAUAACAAUUGGAAACAGGUGCUAAACCGAUACUGAUGGAUCGACCCGCGGUGGAUUAGCUAGUUGGUGGGGUAACGGCUCACCAAGGCUACGAUGCAUAGCGGACCUGAGAGGGUGAUCGGCCACACUGGGACGGAGACACGGCCCAGACGCCUACGGGAGGCAGCAGUGGGGAAUAGUGGACAAUGGGCGCAAGCCUGAUGCAGCCAUGCCGCGUGUAUGAAGAAGGCCUUAGGGUUGUAAAGUACUUUCAGCUGGGAGGCGUUACCCGCAGAAGAAGCACCGGCUAACUCCGUGCCAGCAGCCGCGGUAAUAC